UAUCAUUCAUUCUGACACAAGAGCAAGGUUUAUACUUACCACAAAGUCUGAGUUAUGAUGAAAAAAACAGUUUCCUCUGGAUUGGAUCAGGAUAUAACAAUACAGUAGUCAUUUACAAAUGUAUAGACGGAGAAUCGCCUUCCGACCUUCAUCUGCACGACAUUAAAUGCAAGAGACACCCUCGACGUACAUUAGUUCAGUUCUGUAUUCAGUGUAAUUUUCCCUUGUGUGUGGAUUGUACGAGCUCUGAGGAUCACAGGGGACAUCAUCUUGGAGAUAUAGAGGAGCUGUUUAAAGAAAUUCACAGGAUAGAAGAUGGGGAUACAUUUUUGAUGUGCCUUCUUCUUUCCAAUUCUUAUAAAAUAAACUUGAAAGAAGGAAACUGGAUGACCAAAUACAAUACUGUUGCCAACAGUUUUCAAUCCAAGGAAAUCAAAAAGCCCUUUGCUUUAAAAGAUUUAGAAAAGUACAAACCAAUUCUGAAAUUCAAUGAAUUAGAAAUAAGUUUUUCCAACGAACUCUUCAAAAAUAUCAGUUUUCUUAGAUUUUCAAAAAAUUUAAAAUUUCUGGAUAUUUUCUUGGCUUGGGCUGAAAAAGAAAACAUUGCUGAGUACUGUAGAUCGUGUAAUUAUCAGAGAGAAGAAGGUGAAGUUUGCUGUUGGUUAUUGCCAGAAAAAAAUGAGGAGUUUUUAGAAAGGCUAGGAGAAAAUAUUUUCACACAUCCGACAAUG